UACGUAGGGUGCGAGCGUUAAUCGGAAUUACUGGGCGUAAAGCGCACGUAGGCGGAUUUGUAAGUCAGGGGUGAAAUCCCGGGGCUCAACCUCGGAACUGCCUUUGAUACUGCAAAUCUCGAGUCCGGAAGAGGUGAGUGGAAUUCCUAGUGUAGAGGUGAAAUUCGUAGAUAUUCGCAAGAACACCAGUGGCGAAGGCGGCUAUCUGGACCGACAUUGACGCUGAGGCGCGAAAGCGUGGGGAGCAAACAGG
rnacentral:rRNA from 1 species